AAACUACUCCCUCCGUCCGGAAAUACUUGUCGUAGAAAUGGAUACAAAUGGAUGUAUCUAGAACUAAAAUACAUCUAGAUACAUCCAUUCCUCCGACAAGUACUUUCGGACGGAGGGAGUAGUUG
rfam:Triticum aestivum genome assembly, contig: Triticum_aestivum_CS42_TGACv1_scaffold_066114_1DL